AGAGUUUGAUCAUGGCUCAGGACGAACGCUGGCGGCGUGCCUAAUGCAUGCAAGUCGAGCGACGCAUAUUCUCGGAGUAAUCCUUGGGUAUGACGGAGCGGCGAACGGGUGAGUAACACGUGAGCAACCUGCCCCGAAGACCGGGAUAGCCCGGGGAAACCCGGAUUAAUACCGGAUACCUUCACUUUUUUGCAUGAAAGAGUGAAGAAAGGCCUUUGUGCUUCGGGAUGGGCUCGCGGCCUAUCAGCUAGUUGGUGGGGUAAAGGCCUACCAAGGCAUCGACGGGUAGCUGGUCUGAGAGGACGAUCAGCCACACUGGGACUGAGACACGGCCCAGACUCCUACGGGAGGCAGCAGCAGGGAAUAUUGCGCAAUGGGCGAAAGCCUGACGCAGCAACGCCGCGUGGGGGAUGAAGGCCUUCGGGUUGUAAACCCCUUUCGGGAGGGAAGAAAAUGACGGUACCUCCUAAAGAAGCCCCGGCCAACUACGUGCCAGCAGCCGCGGUAAUACGUAGGGGGCAAGCGUUGUCCGGAAUCAUUGGGCGUAAAGAGCUCGUAGGCGGCUCAGUUAGUCGGCUGUGAAAGCCCGGGGCUCAACCCCGGAACUGCAGUCGAUACUGCUGUGGCUAGAGUCCGGUAGAGGAGAGUGGAAUUCCCGGUGUAGCGGUGGAAUGCGCAGAUAUCGGGAGGAACACCAGUAGCGAAGGC
rnacentral:rRNA from 1 species